GGUGAUGUAGCUUGGUGGUAGAGUGCUUACCUGGCAUGUAUGAAGCACUGGGUUCAACCCUCAGCACCA
rnacentral:tRNA from 1 species